AUUAAAUCAAAAGCGGUAUUUGCGUUGAUUGAUGGUGAAUUCGCAAGUACGUUUUUGAUUUGAGC
rnacentral:pre_miRNA from 1 species